rnacentral:misc_RNA from 1 species
GGGAAUUUAGGUAAUAGAUAGACAUACUUGAAUUCACCUUUGUAGUAAAAGUUCAACAAAAGGCCUCUAAUGGCAAUGUAAACAAAAUUUAACUAACAAGCAAUGUCUGGAGUUGACACCAACAAAACUAAUUCUGUCUUUCAAUUUCAGAAAAACCAAAUAGAAAAAACAACCUCUCAGAAACAGAUUAAGAUCAAUAUCCUCCCUUCAAAUCAUUAACCACAUCAUAUGGUAUGGGGGUAACUGUCUCCAGAGUAGCACCUUCAACCAUGAACCCUGGUUUGGGUCCUAGUGGUUGCCUUUUUGUGCUGAUGACUUCUCCUCUAGCCUUGGCGUCAGCCUUAAGUUGGUCAUUCUUCUUGAUCCUUUCCCUGACUUCUUCGGUGCAUCGAGAUUGCUGGACAUGCUCAAUCCUCACAUGGAUCCUCUUUCUUAAGAUCUUGUUACGAACCUGCUUGUUGACUUCAACACCAACGGCGCGUUUGGUAACAUUCCAAACACGACCAGUACGUCCAUGGUAGAACUUGUGAGGCAUUCCCUUGUGAAUAGCACCAUUCACCUUGAUAUCAACAUAAUCUCCGAUUUUGAAAAUCCUCAAGUAGGUCGAAAGUGCGAUGGUACCCUUCUUCCUGAAGGCGCGAGAGAAUGAAUCUCUCGUUCGAGACCUCAAACCAUGACCGGCCGGCAUUUUCUUCUUCUGCUCUCGCUGUAAUUGC